CAGUACAAGCCUAAUUAAGGUGAAACCGCGAAAGGCUCAUUAAAUCAGUUAUGGUUCCUUAGAUCGUACGCACAUUUACUUGAAUAACUGUGGUAAUUCUAGAGCUAAUACAUGCAAACAGAGCUCCGACCAGAGAUGGAAGGAGUGCUUUUAUUAGAUCAAAACCAAUCGGCGGCAGUCACUUCGGUGUCUGUUCGUCGCCCUAUUUGGUGACUCUGAAUAACUUUAUGCUGAUCGCACGGUCUUGCACCGGCGACGCAUCUAUCAAAUGUCUGCCUUAUCAACUGUCGAUGGUAGGUUCUGCGCCUACCAUGGUUGUAACGGGUAACGGGGGAUCAGGGUUCGAUCCCGGAGAGGGAGCCUGAGAAACGGCUACCACAUCCAAGGAAGGCAGCAGGCGCGCAAAUUACCCACUCCCGGCACGGGGAGGUAGUGACGAAAAAUAACGAUACGGGACUCAUCCGAGGCCCCGUAAUCGGAAUGAGUACACUUUAAGUCCUUUAACCAGGAACCAUUGGAGGGCAAGUCUGGUGCCAGCAGCUGCGGUAAUUCCAGCUCCAAUAGCGUAUAUUAAAGUUGUUGCGGUUAAAAAGCUCGUAGUUGAAUCUGUGUCCCGUGCUGUCGGUUCACCGCCCGCGGGGCUAACUGGCACGUCUCACGGGACGUCCUGCCGGUGG
rnacentral:rRNA from 2 species